CGAGGGAGCUCGUUUUAACGUGUCCCUCCCUCUGAACACGCGUUUACCAACCAUCCUAACCAAAAUCACAGGACUAACUAGAAACACCGCCGGCUUUUUGCCUCGUCGCUCAGUGGGGAUCGAUGAACGCGAGGUGUACACCCUCCGUGGAGACGAACGAAAAGACAGGAGAGACCAGGAACGAUAACAGGGAGAAGCGAUCACGGGAACUACUCGAGGAGACGAGCGCCCUGUGACACAGCAACGGAGGAGGCGCACGAACGUUUCUCGGCCGUUUAACACGACGAGCAAGAGGCUGAACGACGGAACCUGGUGUGCCGAGAGAAGGACACGAUGACAGACGACUACCAGGAGAAGAAACAGUAAUAGUAGUAAUAGUAGUAGUAGUAGUAGUAGUAGUAGUAGUAGUAGUAGUAGCAGUAGUAGUAGUAGUAGUAGUAGUAGUAGUAGUAGUAGUAGUAGUAGUAGUAGUAGUAGUAGUAGUAGUAGUAGUAGUAGUAGUAGUGGUAGUAGUAGUAGUAGUAGUAGUAGUAGUAGUAGUAGUAGUAGUAGUAGUAGUAAUAGUAGCAGUAGUAGCAGUAGUAGUAGUAGUAAUAGUAGGAAUAGUAGGAAUAGUAGGAGUAGUAGGAGUAGUAGUAGUAGUAAUAGUAAUAAUAAUAGUAGCGGGGAUAAAUAACGAAAGAAAUACGAGAAACAACGAGCGAAUGAGAAUGAG
rnacentral:misc_RNA from 1 species